rnacentral:rRNA from 1 species
AGGACGAACGCUGGCGGCGUGCUUAACACAUGCAAGUCGAGCGGUAAGGCCUCCUUCGGGGGGUACACGAGCGGCGAACGGGUGAGUAACACGUGGGUGACCUGCCCUCAGCUCUGGGAUAAGCCUGGGAAACCGGGUCUAAUACCGGAUGGGACUGCUUGCCGCAUGGUGGGUGGUGGAAAGUUUUUUCGGCUGGGGAUGGGCCCGCGGCCUAUCAGCUUGGUUGGUGGGGUGAUGGCCUACCGAAGGCGGUGACGGGUA